ACAGCGUCACCACGGCAACAGCGUCACCCACGGCAACAGUGUCACCCAUGGCAACAGCGUCACCCACAGCUACAGUCGGACAUCCACAGCAACAGUAUCACCCAUGGCAACAGCGUCACACAUGGCUACAACAUCACCCACAGCAACAGCGUCACCACGGCAACAGCGUCACACACAGCAACAGCGUCACCCACAGCUACAGUCAGACAUCCACAGCAACAGCGUCACCCAUGGCAACAGCGUCACCCACAGCAACAGUGUCACCCAUGGCAACAGUGUCACCCAUGGCAACAGCAUCACACAC
rnacentral:lncRNA from 1 species